ACUCCUACGGGAGGCAGCAGUGGGGAAUAUUGCACAAUGGGGGAAACCCUGAUGCAGCCAUGCCGCGUGUGUGAAGAAGGCCUUCGGGUUGUAAAGCACUUUCAGUAGGGAGGAAGGUAGUGUAGUUAACACCUGCAUUAUUUGUACGUUACCUACAGAAGAAGCACCGGCUAACUCCGUGCCAGCAGCCGCGGUAAGUACGGAGGGUGCGAGCGUUAAUCGGAAUUACUGGGCGUAAAGCGCAUGCAGGCGGCCUGUUAAGUCAGAUGUGAAAGCCCGGGGCUUAACCUCGGAAUUGCAUUUGAAACUGGCAGGCUAGAGUCUUGUAGAGGGGUUAGAAUUUCAGGUGUAGCGGUG
rnacentral:rRNA from 1 species